UGGGGAAUAUUGCGCAAUGGGCGAAGGCCUGACGCAGCGACGCCGCGUGAGGGAUGAAGGUUUUCGGAUCGUAAACCUCUGUCAGAAGGGAAGAAACUACGUUGUGCUAGUCAGCAGCGUACUGACGGUACCUUCAAAGGAAGCACCGGCUAACUCCGUGCCAGCAGCCGCGGUAAUACGGAGGGUGCAAGCGUUAAUCGGAAUUACUGGGCGUAAAGCGCACGUAGGCUGUAGUGUAAGUCAGGGGUGAAAUCCCACGGCUCAACCGUGGAACUGCCUUUGAGACUGCACAAAUUGAAUGCGGGAGAGGGUGGCGGAAUUCCAGGUGUAGGAGUGAAAUCCGUAGAUAUCUGGAGGAACAUCAGUGGCGAAGGCGGCCACCUGGACCGGUAUUGACGCUGAGGUGCGAAAGCGUGGGGAGCAAACAG
rnacentral:rRNA from 1 species